AGGUUUGAAAAAAAAGGCUUAUUUAGAUCCACCCGAAGACUUACAUGUGAUGUCAACAAGUUCUGCGUGCUUCUGUCACAAAGAAAUGCUGCACACCAUCAUGACCAAGUUAAUUGGUUAGACCUGUCCAGGUGUCUGUGCACAGAUGCUUAAAUGCACAGUCAUCAUCUCAUAUACAAAUAGAGCUAGAAAAAGCUUAGUCUGGUCCAUCUCUUUGGUUACGGAUGAGAUCUGUUAAAUCUGUGUCAUUCUUGCACAGCCUGUCCUUAAGGAUCCCCAGCAGUGGAAGCACCAUCAUCUCCUCAGUGAUUCACUGCCUUAUAUUUAGAAAAUCAUUCCUACAUUGUAACUUGAAUCUCAUGUGUUGUAAUUUAAGGUCAUCUCAUCUAAACCUGUGACCUACCAUGGAGAAUUUAUUGUUCCAUUCCACUGUGCAACAGCCUUGUCAGGUGUCCUGACAGUUUUUCUUAAGCUAAAUAACUCAGUCUUUCAAUCUUUUCUGCUAGACUGUAUUUUCUAGGGCUCUGUUCAUUGUGCUCUGGAAGUCUCUCCGAAUGAUUCAAUUUUUGCUGAAGGACCAUAUCCAAAUCUAGACAUGUAAUGCUAAUUAAACCUUACCAGGACAAGGUAGACAAUAAAGACUAUUCCAUG
rnacentral:lncRNA from 7 species